AGCGAACGUUUGCGGCGGGCCUAACACAUGCAAGUCGAACGGGCAGGGGCAACCCUGUCAGUGGCGCACGGGUGCGUAACACGUGGGUAAUCAACCCUUUGGACUGGGACAACCCGGGGAAACUCGGGCUAAUACCGGAUGUGGCGUGGCGGUCCUCGGACUGCUCCGCGAAAGCUCCGCAAGGGGCACCAGAGGACGAGCCCGCGUCCCAUCAGCUAGUUGGUGAGGUAAUGGCUCACCAAGGCGAAGACGGGUAGCUGGUCUGAGAGGAUGAUCAGCCACACUGGACUGAGACACGGUCCAGACUCC
rnacentral:rRNA from 1 species